GCGGGCGUAGUUUAGCGGUAGAACAUCUGCUUGCCGAGCAGAAGGCGCGGGUUCGAGUCCCGCCGUCCGCU
rnacentral:tRNA from 1 species